rnacentral:rRNA from 2 species
AAGUCGAACGCACUCUCGUUUAGAUUGAAGGAGCUUGCUCCUGAUUGAUAAACAUUUGAGUGAGUGGCGGACGGGUGAGUAACACGUGGGUAACCUGCCCUAAAGUGGGGGAUAACAUUUGGAAACAGAUGCUAAUACCGCAUAAAACCUAACACCGCAUGGUGUAGGGUUGAAAGAUGGUUUCGGCUAUCACUUUAGGAUGGACCCGCGGUGCAUUAGUUAGUUGGUGAGGUAAAGGCUCACCAAGACCGUGAUGCAUAGCCGACCUGAGAGGGUAAUCGGCCACACUGGGACUGAGACACGGCCCAGACUCCUACGGGAGGCAGCAGUAGGGAAUCUUCCACAAUGGACGAAAGUCUGAUGGAGCAACGCCGCGUGAGUGAAGAAGGUUUUCGGAUCGUAAAACUCUGUUGUUGGAGAAAAAUGUAUCUGAUAGUAACUGAUCAGGUAGUGACGGUAUCCAACCAGAAAGCCACGGCUAAAUACUUGCCACCAGCCGCGGAAAUACAAAAGAGGCACCCCGUGUCGGGAGUUAUUGGGGGGGAAAGCAAAACACGCGCAUUCUUCUUUGUAAUGCUGAAGCCUUCCGCUGAACAUGAGAAAGCGGCUGAAAAGGGGGCAGAAAGAGUGUGCAAAAAAAAAAGUGUCAGUGUUGCGGGUGCGCCGGGAGGGUCCGUAUUCUUGGACGGCCACCCCAGUUUAGGAGCCCCCGGGUUUGUUGACAACAGACACGCCGCUUCGACAAGUGGGGUCCUAAAGAGAUGAACAACCCC